rnacentral:siRNA from 1 species
UGCCUGCGCAUUGUGUGUCUAGUC